CCCGCACAAGCGGUGGAGCAUGUGGUUUAAUUCGAAGCAACGCGAAGAACCUUACCAGGUCUUGACAUCCUUUGACCACUCUGGAGACAGAGCUUUCCCUUCGGGGACAAAGUGACAGGUGGUGCAUGGUUGUCGUCAGCUCGUGUCGUGAGAUGUUGGGUUAAGUCCCGCAACGAGCGCAACCCUUGAUUUUAGUUGCCAGCAUUUAGUUGGGCACUCUAAAGUGACUGCCGGUGCAAGCCGGAGGAAGGUGGGGAUGACGUCAAAUCAUCAUGCCCCUUAUGACCUGGGCUACACACGUGCUACAAUGGAUAGUACAAAGGGUCGCGAAGCCGCGAGGUGGAGCUAAUCCCAUAAAACUAUUCUCAGUUCGGAUUGUAGGCUGCAACUCGCCUACAUGAAGCCGGAAUCGCUAGUAAUCGUGGAUCAGCAUGCCACGGUGAAUACGUUCCCGGGCCUUGUACACACCGCCCGUCACACCACGAGAGUUUGUAACACCCGAAGUCGGUAGGGUAACCUUUAUGGAGCCAGCCGCCGAAGGUGGGACAGAUAAUUGGGGUGAAGUCGUAACAAGGUAGCCGUAUCGGAAGGUGCGGCUGGAUCACCUCCUUUCUAAGGAA
rnacentral:rRNA from 1 species